rnacentral:rRNA from 1 species
UAGGGAAUCUUCGGCAAUGGGGGCAACCCUGACCGAGCAACGCCGCGUGAGUGAAGAAGGUUUUCGGAUCGUAAAGCUCUGUUGUAAGAGAAGAACGUGUGUGAGAGUGGAAAGUUCACACAGUGACGGUAACUUACCAGAAAGGGACGGCUAACUACGUGCCAGCAGCCGCGGUAAUACGUAGGUCCCGAUAGUUGUCCGGAUUUAUCGGGCGUAAAGCGAGCGCAGGCGGUUUAAUAAGUCUGAAGUUAAGGGCAGUGGCUUAACCAUUGUUCGCUUUGGAAACUGUUAAUCUUGAGUGCAGAAGGGGAGAGUGGAAGUCCAUGUGUAGCGGUGAAAUGCGUAGAUAUAUGGAGGAACACCGGUGACGGAAGAGGCACUCUGGUCUGUAACUGACGCUGAGGCUCGAAAGCGUGGGGAGCAAACAGG